GCUUAACACAUGCAAGUCGAACGCCCCUUUCGGGGGGAGUGGCAGACGGGUGAGUAACGCGUGGGAACGUGCCCUUCAGUUCGGAAUAACCCCAGGGGAAACUUGGGCUAAUACCGGAUACGUGCGAGAGCAGAAAGAUUUAUCGCUGAAGGAUCGGCCCGCGUCUGAUUAGCUAGUUGGUGGGGUAAUGGCCCACCAAGGCGACGAUCAGUAGCUGGUCUGAGAGGAUGAUCAGCCACAUUGGGACUGAGACACGGCCCAAACUCCUACGGGAGGCAGCGGUGGGGAAUAUUGGACAAUGGGCGCAAGCCUGAUCCAGCCAUGCCGCGUGAGUGAUGAAGGCCUUAGGGUUGUAAAGCUCUUUCAGUGGGGACGAUAAUGACGGUACCCGCAGAAGAAGCCCCGGCUAACUUCGUGCCAGCAGCCGCGGUAAUACGAAGGGGGCUAGCGUUGUUCGGAAUCACUGGGCGUAAAGGGCGCGUAGGCGGCUUUGUAAGUCGGGGGUGAAAGCCUGUGGCUCAACCACAGAAUUGCCUUCGAUACUGCAUGGCUUGAGACCGGAAGAGGUUAGUGGAACUGCGAGUGUAGAGGUGAAAUUCGUAGAUAUUCGCAAGACACCAGUGGCGAAGGCGGCUGACU
rnacentral:rRNA from 1 species